GAGGAAUCCAUACAUUAUUUAGAGGCGAGCAGGGAGUGCAGGUGAGAGACCCUCUUAGAGUUACAGAAAAUGAAGCAUUGUCUGCUGGAGAUGGAGAUGAAGGGGUAUGCUGUUCUCCUCCCCGUCCUCUCUUCGCUGCAGAGCUUCGCUGCUGGUCAUUGCUGCUAUCUACAACCAACAAAUAAAAUGCUUCUUGAAGGAUUGUUGAGAGGUGUAAUAUUGCAAAUUAUAAUUACAGCAAGUUUUACACCAUGUGUGGUUUCCUUCCAUUCCCCCUCUCCAUUGGUUUGGUCUUGAAAGAGGAGAACACAGAAUGCUGGGACAUUUUGUUGGCAACUUGGAGUUGGAGCACAUGACGUUAGGCCUUCUGUUUCCUAUACAAAAUGACGGCUCACUUUUGGAGAAGAUAUUAUUUUGAUAUUAUGUAGAAGGGGCAAAGAAGUGGUUGGCUAAGGUGGUAUUGUGUUCAGCCAUGCUCGCAGGGUUUGCAGCCCGUCACAACAAGGUGAGGAUGAUGACGAGCACUAAAUAACGUGCAUGUUUAUUUUUGGUUAUCUGAACAAAUCAUGUAUAAUAUGAUGUUUUUGAACAAUUUUUUAUUUAUAUAUUUUCAUUUUUUGAACAAUUUAUGAAUUUUUUAUUAAUUAUGAUUCAAUAUUAUGUGUGCAGAAAUUUAA